AAAGUAUAUUAUAGCGUUUUUUCGGUUUUCCCUCCAUUCCCCAAAAAAUGGACGAGAUAGAAAAGAAGAUUCUGGGUUAAUGUUGCAAUGUCAGUGGUUGGACCCUCAUUUUGGGAGAUUGAAGAAUCUGUUUUGGUAAUGUUUGUACUUGAAAAUUCAUUCGCGAACUAACGUUGUACAUAACCCACAGAAACCCUAGAAAACAAAGAACCCCUUUGUAGCCCAUUUGUGGAGACGAGUCGGCGUGGGUACUGAGGGUUCUGAGCUUUUGAUCGUCCGUGUUGCCAUAACAUUAGCGAGCUAAGAUCAUUCGUCGGUUGGCGUGCGGGUGGUCGCCAUUUUGCGAUGGCAACAGGUGUUUCCAGCUAUCAAAUUGGAGGGCGUAAACAGUAUGGGGGUAAACCACGUUCACGUCCCACACCACAGUCUUCAACACGAUUGGCCAUGAGAAGGCAAGGGAAGCUGCCUUUCAAAAAGACGAAGACAGUGACCAGAUCUGUCAAGAAACCUGUUGUUGACCCCGAGAAGGCAGGAUGUGAUGAGGAACCGAAGUGCUAUUUUGCGGGCAAAGUACUUGAGUGUGAACUUGAAAGCUGCAAAAGGUCACAGAUACACACAUUACCCAGGAUACCGUUCAAACCAUUAGACUAUCAUGGUGCACGACUCGGAGACCGGCAUAUGAAAACACUAUAAGUCUGUGAGACCGAGACGAGGGAUGCGGGAUGACCAUUAUAACGAAGUGCUUAAAUUGAAACAGUGGGUGGUGGAUCACCACACAAAUUUUGUGAAACCAAUGCUUGCAUCCGAUAAUGUGAAGAAGCCGGAGUUUGAUGGGCCGCUCUUUCUGGUUAUGGAUUGCCCACAAUAGAGUCCCGAUGCAGAAGAAUGUACAGAAUAUCAAGCACUAGUCGAUUCUCCGAUGAAUUUUCGGUCAACUUGUCACUGGCUAUGAAAUCUCCAGCUACUGAUGAUGAUGACCUGCUGCAGCCCGUGUCUGAUCAUUGGAUUUCGGAUGGCAACAAGAAGGUAGUCCCUUCUCCUUCUCAGCAGCAGCAGCACAAGAAGUCUUCAGGGGAGAAUGUUAUUCACCUCAUUCCACUUUUUCUGCUUCUUUGUGCUUUGAUUCUUUGGUGGUUCUCUGUUCCUCUUAAUAAAAUGUAAUCACCUCUCAAACAACCUAACCUAACCAAGCAACUUCUUUUGUUUUUCCCCUCUGUUAUUGUCGUUGUGUUGGAAUGAAUUUAUCUUUUUCUUUUUAUUGUAUCAUGAUAUAUCAAUGUUCCAUUGUUUGGGCUGUUGUUUCUGAAUGAUUGAAGUCAGAAGAUACUUGAAACGUAUUUUUUAGUAGAACA